UAAUACGUAGGGUGCGAGCGUUAAUCGGAAUUACUGGGCGUAAAGCGUGCGCAGGCGGUUGUGUAAGACAGUUGUGAAAUCCCCGGGCUCAACCUGGGAAUUGCAUCUGUGACUGCACAGCUGGAGUGCGGCAGAGGGGGAUGGAAUUCCGCGUGUAGCAGUGAAAUGCGUAGAUAUGCGGAGGAACACCGAUGGCGAAGGCAAUCCCCUGGGCCUGCACUGACGCUCAUGCACGAAAGCGUGGGGAGCAAACAGG
rnacentral:rRNA from 1 species